rnacentral:rRNA from 1 species
CAGCCACACUGGAACUGAGACACGGUCCAGACUCCUACGGGAGGCAGCAGUGGGGAAUAUUGCACAAUGGGCGCAAGCCUGAUGCAGCCAUGCCGCGUGUGUGAAGAAGGCCUUCGGGUUGUAAAGCACUUUCAGCGGGGAGGAAGGCGAUAAGGUUAAUAACCUUGUCGAUUGACGUUACCCGCAGAAGAAGCACCGGCUAACUCCGUGCCAGCAGCCGCGGUAAUACGGAGGGUGCAAGCGUUAAUCGGAAUUACUGGGCGUAAAGCGCACGCAGGCGGUCUGUCAAGUCGGAUGUGAAAUCCCCGGGCUCAACCUGGGAACUGCAUUCGAAACUGGCAGGCUAGAGUCUUGUAGAGG